GUGGGGAAUAUUGGACAAUGGGCGAAAGCCUGAUCCAGCCAUGCCGCGUGUGUGAAGAAGGUCUUCGGAUUGUAAAGCACUUUAAGUUGGGAGGAAGGGCAGUAAGUUAAUACCUUGCUGUUUUGACGUUACCGACAGAAUAAGCACCGGCUAACUUCGUGCCAGCAGCCGCGGUAAUACGAAGGGUGCAAGCGUUAAUCGGAAUUACUGGGCGUAAAGCGCGCGUAGGUGGUUUUGUAAGUUGGAGGUGAAAUCCCCGGGCUCAACCUGGGAACUGCCUCCGAAACUGCAUGACUAGAGUACGGUAGAGGGUAGUGGAAUUUCCUGUGUAGCGGUGAAAUGCGUAGAUAUAGGAAGGAACACCAGUGGCGAAGGCGACUACCUGGACUGAUACUGACACUGAGGUGCGAAAGCGUGGGGAGCAAACAGGAUUAGAUACCCGGGUAGUCC
rnacentral:rRNA from 1 species